UAAAUUUUAUUUAGAUAUUGCGAAAGAAGAAAUAAUUGACUCAAUGUAAUAGAGUUGGUAUCUUAAUUAGAUACACAAUAUAAAAGUUAGUGUUGUUUGUUACUGCUAUAUUUUUUUAUGUUUGCUUUUUUUUUUGUUGAACAUCAUGUUUUCUUAUUUUACGAUCAAGUUAUUAUCCAUGUAUAAAACAUAUAUUUUUAUCAUAAUUUGGAUUGAAGAAUUUUAGAGUUACAUAGCAAAGUUGUGUAUGUCAAAAGCAUCAUGCCAUCCUUUGUGUAUCUCGUCGAGACAACCACGAACCAAACCAACUUGACCAUCACAACCUGCCACCUAUCCUCAUCAUCAUCAUUGCCACUAAAACCACC
rnacentral:lncRNA from 1 species